UGGUCUAUCUAUUCUAUGGUUUUAAAUGCAUGUAUUACUGUCUUACUUGACCACUGUGUGAUUUUUGAAUUUAUGAUAUGAUUGUAUUACCGGGUGCAUGUUUAUUGUUUAUGUGAUUAUGCUCAACUUGGUAACAGAGACUAAGGAAAAACAAAUAAGGUGACAGCCUCACUAGAUAUCCUGGGAGAUGGCGGACGGACCAGAUUCAUAGGGAACCCUACCGUGAAUGUUGUCUCAUACCGGAAGGGGAAUGGAGACUUGGUCAUUUGGCGCUCAUACCAAACGGGGUAUGGGGAUGACUCAUUUCAUCCUCAUAGCGGACGGGGUAUGGGGAUGGCCCU
rnacentral:lncRNA from 1 species